GACGAACGCUGGCGGCGUGCCUAAUACAUGCAAGUCGAACGAAGCUUUUUUAACUGGUGCUUGCACCGACUUAAACAACUGAGUGGCGAACGGGUGAGUAACACGUGGGUAACCUGCCCCAAAGCGGGGGAUAACAUUUGGAAACAGAUGCUAAUACCGCAUAACCACAGAAACCACAUGGUUUCUGUGUCAAAGAUGGUUUCGGCUAUCACUUUGGGAUGGACCCGCGGCGUAUUAGCUAGUUGGUAAGGUAAUGGCUUACCAAGGCAAUGAUACGUAGCCGAACUGAGAGGUUGAUCGGCCACAUUGGGACUGAGACACGGCCCAAACUCCUACGGGAGGCAGCAGUAGGGAAUCUUCCACAAUGGACGAAAGUCUGAUGGAGCAACGCCGCGUUAGUGAAGAAGGUUUUCGGAUCGUAAAACUCUGUUGUCAGAGAAAAACGUGUGCGAGAGUAACUGUUCGUGCAGUGACGGUAUCUGGCCAGAAAGCCACGGCUAACUACGUGCCAGCCGCCGUAACAC
rnacentral:rRNA from 1 species